rnacentral:rRNA from 1 species
CCUACGGGCGGCAGCAGUGAGGAAUAUUGGUCAAUGGGCGCUAGCCUGAACCAGCCAAGUAGAAAGACAGAUGACUGCCCUAUGGGUUGUAAACUUCUUUUAUAUGGGAAUAAAGUGCAGUAUGUAUACUGCUUUGCAUGUACCUUAUGAAUAAGGAUCGGCUAACUCCGUGCAAGCAGCCGCGGUAAUACGGAGGCUUCGAGCGUUAUCCGGAUUUAUUGGGUUUAAAGGGAGCGUAGGCGGGUUGUUAAGUCAGUGGUGAAAGUUUGCGGCUCAACCGUAAAAUUGCAGUUGAUACUGGCAUCCUUGAGUACAGUAGAGGUAGGCGGAAUU